UACGUAGGGUGCAAGCGUUAAUCGGAAUUACUGGGCGUAAAGCGUGCGCAGGCGGCUUUGCAAGACAGAUGUGAAAUCCCUGGGCUCAACCCAGGAAAUGCUUCGAAUACUGGCGGACUUGAGGCUAGUAGAGGUCACUGGAACUGACGGUGGAGCGGUGAAAUGCGUAGAUAUCGUAAGGAAGACCAGUGGCGAAGGCGGGUCUCUGGACAGUUCCUGACGCUGAGGCACGAAGGUCAGGGGAGCAAACGGG
rnacentral:rRNA from 1 species